AUACCAUUGCCAUGAAAGAAAACAUCAACCAUUAAUUUGAAGGUUUCAAUGACAAAAAUAUUCCCUCAUAUUUCAUUCAUGAAGGAACCUGGUAUAGGGAAGAAUUCUAUGAGAUGAUUUCAAUAGAGAACGAUGAGUCAAGGAUUAUAUA